GACGAACGCUGGCGGCGUGCCUAAUACAUGCAAGUCGAGCGGACUGAUUAAGAGCUUGCUCUUAUGACGUUAGCGGCGGACGGGUGAGUAACACGUGGGCAACCUGCCCUGUAGAUCGGGAUAACACCGAGAAAUCGGUGCUAGUACCGGGUAAUAUCUGAGAUCACAUGAUCUUAGGUUAAAAGAUGGCUCCGGCUAUCACUACAGGAUGGGCCCGCGGCGCAUUAGCUAGUUGGUAAGGUAAUGGCUUACCAAGGCGACGAUGCGUAGCCGACCUGAGAGGGUGAUCGGCCACACUGGGACUGAGACACGGCCCAGACUCCUACGGGAGGCAGCAGUAGGGAAUCUUCCGCAAUGGACGAAAGUCUGACGGAGCAACGCCGCGUGAGUGAUGAAGGGUUUCGGCUCGUAAAGCUCUGUUGUUAGGGAAGAAACAGUACCGAACGAACUAGGUCGGUACCUUGACGGUACCUAACCAGAAAGCCACGGCUAACUACGUG
rnacentral:rRNA from 1 species